rnacentral:lncRNA from 1 species
UGCCCCAGCAGGAGACUCCUAAGGAAGUUCAGUUCCUCCGGGACUAUGAUUUCAGCAGCCCGAUGGCUAAAGGGAAGGACACAAGUGUUUCUCCUUAGAGUAGAUUCCCUCCUGCUAGGUGGUUACACCUGCAGAACAAGGAAACUGCAUCUCAAAGUGACCCCUCUAUCCUAAGGGGGCACCAGAUGCUGCUCCAGAUGUGCUGCCUGUAGGCUGCCUGCCUCCUCUCUUCAGGCUUGCUGCCAAAGGCACCUGGCUGGGCUACCUUGUCCAGCUCCCAAGACUUCCAUCACGACUCCCCUCCUAUCUUGGGAAGUCGAAGUCCUGCUCACCUUGAAGACUCCUUGAAGACUUCGGUUUCCCUGGAAGCAUCUACUAGCAUGGAAUGCGUAAACAGGUCAUGAAGUACCCUGCUGAAGGAAGUUGGGGAGGGACUAAGCAGAUGACUGUGCCUGCGCCUGGACAACCUCCAGCUUUUCGAGUGAAGUGCCAAGUGUUAACUUACAGUCUGCCAUGGCAGGAAAGUCAUUACAGUUGGAACUAGAGGCAUUCAGCCACAUUGGAUCUGCCAUUAGGAAGCAAACUGAGAUGAAUGUGGCUUUCUCCUUUCUGGGACCUGGAUUGUAUAAGAAAGCAAGCUGAACAAGCAAGGAGAA